GGAGGCUUCGCCUAGUUGGCCUAUGGCGCCCGCCUGCUAAGCGGGUUGAGGGUUUAUAGCUCUCUCCCGGGUUCGAAUCCCGGAGCCUCCG
rnacentral:tRNA from 1 species